rnacentral:misc_RNA from 1 species
GUGAAUCAUCGAAUCUUUGAACGCAAAUUGCACUCUUUGGUAUUCCGGAGAGUAUGCCUGUUUGAGGGCCAGUUUAAAUAAAAAUCGGUGUGUUUGCUGCCUUUCGUGGUGACGUACUUGAUUUGGUUCGUCUCGUCUUCGGUUAAGUGACUUAAAAUUUUGCAUGAUUCUUUUUUACGUAUUUAAAUUAUUUUACAUACGUUUGUGUUAUCGAAUAUUAGUUGCGGUUAUCCUCAUGAUCCGCGCCUAUUAUUUCUC